AUCCGGUCCAACCCCUUGCAAAUGAGAAAUUCGGAGGAAUCUUCAACCCACCAACCCGCCUCUUUUUUCCUCGCCUUCUUGGAUGAGGAAGAGGGGCCGGUGCAGCCCGCAAGGGUCUGGUGUGAGCACAUCUGCAAUUGGCAUCAGAAACAUCGGGGCCGUGGAAUUUCUUUUUCUCGGGUUUUCCCCUUGGGAGAGUCAUUGCGAAGAUUGUGUGUGUCCCUUCCCGGGGCACGACACUUUAGUGCAAUACGCAGCAUGCCGCGCCAGCUACCACUACUAGCUGGUAGAUGUGGUAUAAUUCGAUUCCGAUUAUUCUGGGGGGAU
rnacentral:RNase_P_RNA from 2 species